AUUGAACGCUGGCGGAAUGCUUUACACAUGCAAGUCGAACGGUAGAGGGGGCAACCCCUCGAGAGUGGCGAACGGGUGAGUAAUAUAUCGGAACGUGCCCAGUCGUGGGGGAUAACGUAGCGAAAGUUACGCUAAUACCGCAUACGAUCUAAGGAUGAAAGCGGGGGAUCGCAAGACCUCGCGCGAUUGGAGCGGCCGAAAUCAGAUUAGGUAGUUGGUGGGGUAAAGGCUAACCAAGCCAACGAUCUGUAGCUGGUCUGAGAGGACGACAAGCAAGACUGGAACUGAGACACGGUCCAGACUCCUACGGGAGGCAGCAGUGGGGAAUUUUGGACAAUGGACGCAAGUCUGAUCCAGCCAUUCCGCGUGCAGGAUGAAGGCCCUCGGGUUGUAAACUGCUUUUGUACGGAACGAAAAGGUCUCUCUUAAUACGGGGGACUCAUGACGGUACCGUAAGAAUAAGCACCGGCUAACUACGUGCCAGCCGCCGCCGUAA
rnacentral:rRNA from 1 species